AACGCUUCUCUGCCUUUAGACCAAGAUUAAGUGCAGCGUCUGUUCUACUCAGUUAAUAUCGUAUAUGUACCCUACUUGGGGAUUAUAUUUUAAAUUGAUUUUUUGGAACAAGGAGAUGGAAUAGGGGCUUUCUAUGUCCACUCCAUGCGUUGACCUGAUAUCGCAGUACUCUCUCUCUCUCUCGUCAGAGUCAAAUAA